rnacentral:rRNA from 1 species
GACGAACGCUGGCGGCGCGCUUAACACAUGCAAGUCGAGCGGUAAGGCCCUUCGGGGUACACGAGCGGCGAACGGGUGAGUAACACGUGGGUGACCUGCCCUCAGCUCUGGGAUAAGCCUGGGAAACUGGGUCUAAACUACCCGGGAUAUGACUACUGAUCGCAUGGUUGGGUGGUGGAAAGUUUUUUCGGCUGGGGAUGGGCCCGCGGCCUAUCAGCUUGGUU